AUUGAACGCUGGCGGCAGGCUUAACACAUGCAAGUCGAGCGAGCGGCGGACGGGUGAGUAAUGUCUGGGAAACUGCCUGAUGGAGGGGGAUAACUACUGGAAACGGUAGCUAAUACCGCAUACCAUCAGAUGUGCCCAGAUGGGAUUAGCUAGUAGGUGGGGUAAUGGCUCACCUAGGCGACGAUCCCUAGCUGGUCUGAGAGGAUGACCACCAACGCUGGAAGUAGGCCAGGGUCCAGACUCCUAGGGAGGGCAGCGGGGGGGAAUAUUGCACAAGGGGCGCAGGCCUGAUGCAGCCAUGCCGCGUGUGUGAAGAAGGCCUUCGGGUUGUAAAGCACUUUCAGCGAGGAGGCGUUACUCGCAGAAGAAGCACCGGCUAACUCCGUGCCAGCAGCCGCGGUAAUC
rnacentral:rRNA from 1 species